rnacentral:misc_RNA from 1 species
GAUGAAGAACGUAGUGAAAUGCGAUAAGUAAUGUGAAUUGCAGAAUUCAGUGAAUCAUCGAAUCUUUGAACGCACAUUGCGCCCUCUGGUAUUCCGGGGGGCAUGCCUGUUCGAGCGUCAUUACAACCCUCAAGCUUUGCUUGGUAUUGGACAUUGCCAGUUUCUGGCAGGUCUUAAAAUCAGUGGCGGUGCCAUUUGGCUUCAAGCGUAGUAAUUCUUCUCGCUUUGGAGAUCCAGGUGGUUACUUGCCAAUAACCCCCAAUUUUUUCAGGUUGACCUCGGAUCAGGUAGGGAUACCCGCUGAACUUAAGCAUAUCAAUAAGCGGAGA